AGUUUGAUCAUGGCUCAGAAUGAACGCUGGCGGCGUGCUUAACACAUGCAAGUCGAGCGAGGCCAGGGGGGCAACUCCCUGAGUCGAGCGGCGGACGGGUGAGUAACACGUGGGUAACCUACCCGGAAGUGGGGAAUACCUCGGGGAAACUCGAGCUAAUACCGCAUGACAUCUUUGGGACGAAAGUCCUGACGAUCAAAGCGGGGUCGCAAGAUCUCGCGCUACCGGAUGGGCCCGCGCCCGAUUAGCUAGUUGGUGAGGUAACGGCUCACCAAGGCGACGAUCGGUAACCGGCCUGAGAGGGCGAUCGGUCACACCGGAACUGAGACACGGUCCGGACUCCUACGGGAGGCAGCAGUGGGGAAUCUUGCGCAAUGGGCGAAAGCCUGACGCAGCAACGCCGCGUGGAGGAUGAAGGUCCUUGGGUUGUAAACUCCUGUCGGCUGGGAAGAAGUCGUUCGCGGUUAAUACCCGCGGACGUUGACUGUACCAGCAAAGGAAGCCCCGGCUAACUCUGUGCCAGCAGCCGCGGUAAUACAGAGGGGGCCAGCGUUAUUCGGAAUUAUUGGGCGUAGAGGGCGCGUAGGCGGCCACGCGUGUCUUCCGUGAAAUCCCUCGGCUCAACCGAGGACGUGCGGAAGAAACUGCAAGGCUCGAGUCCGGAAGAGGGGG
rnacentral:rRNA from 1 species